rnacentral:rRNA from 1 species
GACGUAGGGCGCGAGCGUUGUCCGGAUUUAUUGGGCGUAAAGAGCUCGUAGGCGGCUCAUUGCGUCAACCGUGAAAACCCGCGGCUCAACUGCGGGCUUGCGGUUGAUACGGGUGGGCUGGAGUUCGGUAGGGGAGACUGGAAUUCCUGGUGUAGCGGUGAAAUGCGCAGAUAUCAGGAGGAACACCGGUGGCGAAGGCGGGUCUCUGGGCCGAUACUGACGCUGAGGAGCGAAAGCGUGGGGAGCGAACAGG